rnacentral:rRNA from 1 species
AUUGAACGCUGGCGGCAGGCCUAACACAUGCAAGUCGAACGUGUGGCGGGCGGGUGAGAUAUGUCUGGGACACUGCGUGGUGGGGGGGGAUCACCAGUGGACACUGUAGCUUAUCCCGUAUACCAUGAGAUGCGCCCAGAGGGGAUUAGUGUGGGGGUGGGGUAACGGCUCACCAGGGCGACGAACCCGAGCUGGUCUGAGAGGAUGACCAGCCACACUGUAACUGAGACACGGUCCAGACUCCUACGUGAGGCAGCAGUGGGGAAGAUUGCACAAUGGGCGCAAGCCUGAUGCAGCCAUGCCGCGUGUAUGAAGAAGGCCUUCGGAUUGUAAAGUACUUUCAGCGGGGAGGCGUUACCCACAGAAGAAGCACCGGCUAACUCCGUGCCAGCCGCCGCGGUAAUUC